AUAUCAUAACGAAGAGGUAUCGUAAUUGAAGAGGUUUGGAAAGACCCACCACAGAAGGUAAUAGUCCUGUAUGUUAAACGAGAAGACUUUAGAUAUGAUCCAGAGUACCACGGGAAACGUGAAACCCUGUGGGAAGCAGGAGGGACCACCCUCCAAGGCUAAAUACUACCUAGUGACCGAUAGCGUAUAGUACCGUGAGGGAAAGGUGAAAAGAACCCCGGGAGGGGAGUGAAAUAGAACCUG
rnacentral:rRNA from 1 species